rnacentral:rRNA from 1 species
GACGAACGCUGGCGGCGUGCUUAACACAUGCAAGUCGAACGGACAGGCCCUGCUUUUGUGGGGUGCUCGUGUGGCGAACGGGUGAGUAACGCGUGAGUAACCUGCCCUUGUAUGUGGGGUAACUUCAGGAAACUGGGGCUCAUACCGGAUAGGAGCUCCUGCUGCAUGGUGGGGGUUGGAGAGUGUCGGCGGUUGGGGCUGGACUCGCGGCUUAUCAGCUUGAUGGGGGAGUAGUGGCUGUCCAAGGCUAUGACGGGUAGCCGGCCUGAGAGGUUGACCGGCCACAUUGGGACUGCGAGACGGCCCAGACUCGUACGGGCGGCAGUAGUGGGGAAUAUUGCACAAUGGGCGGAAGCCUGAUGCAGCAACCCCGCGUGCGGGAUGACGGCCUUCUGGUGGUAAACCUCUGUCUCCUGUGCCGAAGCGUGAGUGACGGUAAUUGGUAAGGAAGCACCGGCUAACUACGUG